UUAGUUGGAAGUUUAAGCAAUUAGACCUUCGCCGGGGGGGAAGGCCGCAAUGGCGAAAAAUCAAAAGAAUUGACGGGGGCCCGCACAAACGGUGGAGCAUUUGGUUUAAUUUGAAACAAAGCGAAAAACCUUACCAAGUUUUGACAUUCUUUUAAAACCCUAGAAAUAAGGCUUUUCCUUUGGGAGCCGAGUGACCGGGGGUGCAUGGUUGUAGUUAGCUUGUGUUGUGAGAUGUUGGGUUAAGUUCCGCAACGAGGGCAACCCUUGAUUUUAGUUUCCAUCAAUUAGUUGGGCACUUUAAGGGGGCUGCCGGUGACAAACCGGAGGAAGGUGGGGAUGACGUCAAAUUAUCAUGCCCCUUAUGGCCUGGGGUACACCCGUGGUACAAUGGACGGUACAAAGAAGUGCAAGGCCGCGAGGGGGAGCUAAUUUCAUAAAACCGUUUUCAGUUUGGAAUGUAGGGUGCAACUUGCCUACCAGAAGCUGGAAUUGCUUGUAAUCGCGGAUCAACCUGCCGCGGUGAAUACGUUUCCGGGCCUUGUACACCCCCCCCGUCCCACCCCGGGAGUUUGUAACCCCCGAAGUCGGUGGGGUAACCUUUUUGGAGCCAGCCGCCUAAGGUGGAACAGAUAUUU
rnacentral:rRNA from 1 species